AAUAAAGUGGCUGAGUAGUAAGCGGUAAAUUGUAAAUUUAUAGACGAAUUAAAAAAUUCCUUUAUUA
rnacentral:tRNA from 1 species